UUUACCUACGGGAGGCAGCAGUGGGGAAUAUUGCACAAUGGGGGAAACCCUGGUGCAGCGACGCCGCGUGAGUGAAGAAGUAUUUCGGUAUGUAAAGCUCUAUCAGCAGGGAAGAGGAAAGACGGUACCUGACUAAGAAGCCCCGGCUAACUACGUGCCGGCAGCCGCGGUAAUACGUAGGGGGCAAGCGCUAUCCGGAUUUACUGGGUGUAAAGGGAGCGUAGACGGCUGUGCAAGUCUGAAGUGAAAGCCCAGGGCUCAACCCUGGGACUGCUUUGGAAACUGUGGAGCUAGAGGGCUGGAGG
rnacentral:rRNA from 1 species